UACAGAGGGUGCGAGCGUUAAUCGGAAUUACUGGGCGUAAAGCGUGCGUAGACGGUUAUGUAAGUCGGAUGUGAAAGCCCCCGGGCUCAACCUGGGAAUGGCAUUCGAGACUGCAUAGCUAGGAUGCGGAAGAGGGAAGUGGAAUUUCCGGUGUAGCGGUGAAAUGCGUAGAUAUCGGAAGGAACACCAGUGGCGAAAAGCGACUUCCUGGUCCAGCAUCGACGUCAGGCACGAAAAGCGUGGGGGAGCAAACAGG
rnacentral:rRNA from 1 species